AGCGGCUCCGGGGGCAGAGCCGGCCCGGCCCAGGCGAGCCUCGCCACGGCCCUCGGCGGCUGCCGUCCGACUCCGUCCCGCCGGCGGGAGCCGCCCCGAGCCCUGCAGGCGUCCGGCCGCGGUGCUCGGCGACGGUGGCUGCCGGUGGAGCCCAGCGGCAGCGAGACGCCAGCGGCGGCAGCCUGCAUCGCCUCUGCUUCUCCCAGCCGGCAGAGGCUGCAAUGACAUCCCCCAGCAGCCUGCUUCAGGCGAAGCUGAAGAGCUGUAGCUCAGCCUUCCUUUGUGGCAGAGCUGUUCCAGCUCCCUGUCUCCUUCUGUGGCCUUCUCUGGACCCGCUCUUAACUGGUUGAUGCCUUCCCUGUGCUGGGGAGCUGGAUGCAGCAGGUGAGGAGGAGCCACAGCAGAGUGCAGUAGAAGGGCAGAAUCGCCUGCCCUGCUCUGCUGAGCACUUUGAAGAGCCAGGUAAUGACACAGUGCCUUGAGUCAAAGCCUCUUUCCUCCUGUGUGCUUCUGCCUGACCUCUCCCUGCUCAUGGAACUCCGUUUCUGUAACAAAAGGUCCUGCAGCUGCAGCAGGAGCUUGUGCACGCUGGCAGAGUGCAGCCUCUGGCAGAGUCCUGCCACGAAGCCCAGAAGCUUUCCAGCAGCUGCCUGCAGCAGAAGAGCAGUGAGCUGCAGAGGGAGAAUGUCAGUUUGCAGGAGGAGCUGGAGAGAUCUGAAGCUAAGGGUCCAAGGUGAACAUUGCAGGCUGAGCAGCACAGCCCAGGAGCAAGCCAGGAGCACUGCAGCCCUUCAUAAAGACCUGCAAGCUGCUGCCUCGGCUUUCCUUGGGCUCUGGUGCUGCUGGGUGUUUGCCCCUGGAGGCCCAGAGCGUGACAGGAGUUCUUUAGUUGCCUGCACUGUGCUCACCUUCCUGCUCCAGUGCCUGUGGAUGCCUUGGCCAGAAGGUGCAGCUCCACCCUGCAGCGAGCAGAGCUCCCAAGAUGAACGUCCAGGACUCAGAAGGGACUCACUGCCACUGCCCAGAGCCGGAGGACCUGGCCUCGAUGGCAAGCUGCAGGGAGGCAUUCCUGGCUGGAGCGUGGCAAAGAGAGUUGGCCGUGGGCAGGCACAAGGUAGCAGGCCUGGCUGUGUGCUGCUCUCCAGCAGUGCCCCUGAGUGGAAGCGGAGCUGAGCCCAGCUCUGCUGUGCCCCCGUGCAGGGAGCUGCCUGCGAGCAGAGCCAGGCCUGGCACUGGAGCUUGCAAGGUGCUUCUGCACAUCAGCCCCUGGGCUUCCAGAGCUGCACAGGGCCUGGCAGGUGCAGGCUGCCUGCAGUGCCCCUGGGAGGGCAGGAAGGCUUUUCUGCCUGCCUUCAGGGAAAGCUGAGGCCCUGCGUGUGGGGUGUGGUGCUGGGGGCAGUGCUGGCUGCUGUCACUGACUGCUGGCCCAUGGAGCACGGCACAGCUGUGCUGCCUGCAUGGGCACAUGGCAAAGGCCAACUGCUGCCUGCAGGUUGGAGGUGCUUCUGGAUGAGGCAGAGCUGAGGCCAGGGACGGGGAGAGAGAGUGAAUGGCAGCUGAGUGUCCGUGAGAGGGAGAAGCAGCAGGAUGCAGGCCUCUGUGGUCUGGAGGAGCAAGGAGCAGCAGCCCAGCUGAGACAGAGCUGGAGACAGGACAGCGAGACAGAGCUGAGGCAGGUGAAAAGAGAGGGAAAGAAAGCAGCAAUGCUAAAGGCAAAAACCAACGAGGAGAGAAAAAGUGAGGCAGAGAAAGAGUGGGAGAGAAAGAAGGCAAAAGAAAAAGCACAGCAAAAGGUCUCCCAGAAGACUGCUCUGGUUUGGCACAGCCCUGGCCAGUCUGUGCCACCUGAUCAGCAGGCCCUGUGCUGGCUCUGGCCUCUGCUCCAGCCUCACCUUCUUCUGCGGAGCCACAGCAGAGUGGAGUAGGAAGGGAGAGGAACCUCCCUCGCUCUGCUGGGCCCCCUGCAGGUUUGAGCAAGGAGAGGAGUGAGAGGCAGCAGCACCUGGCCUGCUGGGGACUCCAUGUCCCUCUCCCCACUGCUAAUGAAGCACAAGGCUGAGAUCUUCCCCACUCUGCUGCUUGGGCCACGGAGAAGCAGUCGCAGGCUGCUGGCCUCAGCUGAGCUGCAGCAGCUGCAGGAGGCAGGGUGAGAGCAGGGGCUGAGGCCAAGCAAGUAAGGCUCAGCUCUGGAGCUGCUCCUGAGUGCCCCAGGGGUGGAGGAACCUUUGCAUCUACUCUGCCUUGCAGUGGCUUCUGCUGCUGUGCACUGAGCCCAGAGGAGGCAGGGCAGGGCUGUGCCACAGCACCAAAAGGUUACUCUGGAGAGCGGGAGGGUUUAAUUGGGAGAGUGGGAAGCAUUCAGCCUGGGCCUGGGCUGCAGCCCCCAAGGGGCAGAGCGGAUCAGGGUGAGGCUGGCCCAGGCUCAGGAAGCUGAGAGGGCAGGGUCAAGAGAAGCUGCAGGCAGCAGCAGACAUUUUGCACUGAGCUGAGCUGCAGGACUGGAUGAAAAAGCUGAAAGCUGAGCUUUGUGCUGGCCUAGGCAGCGGUGGGGAGCAGCGGGAGGGAAGCUGCUGGGGGCACAGCAGGGCUGCU